GUGUCCUUUUCUGCCAUUAGCAGAAAGGUUGCAUCCGUGUACACUUCGCGUCCUUUCAUAUCCCGAGAUAAUUUACGCUCACAACUCAGAAAAAUAUUUUCAACAUGGCGCGGCUCUAUGCGGACCGCGCAGAGCGGCUAAUUUACAGCUUGGUGCCUGGAGCUUUUUUCAACGUUUGCAAAAUAAUCAAGGAGGAGGACUCGGACAACAAAUGACCAAAAAGAAAUGACACAAAACACUUAUAUACCAGUUUGGAUGAUCAUUUAAAAACAAAUUAUUUUUUGAACAGAUACAAAUUAAUA